rnacentral:tRNA from 1 species
GCGGAUAUGGCGAAAUUGGCAGACGCGCUAGAUUUAGGUUCUAGUUCCGAAAGGAGUGAAGGUUCAAGUCCUUUUAUCCGCACUA